rnacentral:rRNA from 1 species
AACGAACGCUGGCGGCAUGCCUAACACAUGCAAGUCGAACGAUGCCUUCGGGCAUAGUGGCGCACGGGUGCGUAACGCGUGGGAAUCUGCCUUUCGGUUCGGAAUAACUCAGGGAAACUUGAGCUAAUACCGGAUAACGUCGCAAGACCAAAGAUUUAUCACCGAAAGAUGAGCCCGCGUAGGAUUAGCUAGUUGGUGAGGUAAAGGCUCACCAAGGCGACGAUCCUUAGCUGGUCUGAGAGGAUGAUCAGCCACACUGGGACUGAGACACGGCCCAGACUCCUACGGGAGGCAGCAGUGGGGAAUAUUGGACAAUGGGCGAAAGCCUGAUCCAGCAAUGACGCGUGAGUGAUGAAGGCCUUAGGGUUGUAAAGCUCUUUUACCCGGGAAGAUAAUGACGGUACCGGGAGAAUAAGCCCCGGCUAACUCCGUG